UACGUAGGGUGCGAGCGUUAAUCGGAAUUACUGGGCGUAAAGCGUGCGCAGGCGGUUUUGUAAGCCAGAUGUGAAAUCCCCCGGGCUUAACCUGGGAAUGGCAUUUGGGACUGCAAGGCUUGAGUGCGGCAGAGGAGACUGGAAUUCCUGGUGUAGCAGUGAAAUGCGUAGAUAUCAGGAGGAACACCGAUGGCGAAGGCAGGUCUCUGGGCUGACACUGACGC
rnacentral:rRNA from 1 species